rnacentral:rRNA from 1 species
UACGGAGGGUGCAAGCGUUAUCCGGAUUCACUGGGUUUAAAGGGUGCGUAGGCGGGCAUUUAAGUCAGUGGUGAAAUACCUGAGCUUAACUUGGGAACUGCCAUUGAUACUAUUUGUCUUGAAUGUCGUGGAGGUUAGCGGAAUAUGUCAUGUAGCGGUGAAAUGCUUAGAUAUGACAUAGAACACCUAUUGCGAAGGCAGCUAACUACGCGAACAUUGACGCUGAGGCACGAAAGCGUGGGGAUCAAACAGG